UUUCCCAAGACCACGAAGCCCAGGGGCCUAAACACUGCAACGGACGAAGUACAAACACUCGCCGCGCUCUAAAACCCCAACCGUUACAAGGAAGCAAAAACCCAAACCAGAGAAAGAAAAAUCCUCCAACAAUCUCCGUUAGAUGGCCAUCGAUACCGUCGAAUCCCCAUCUCCGUCUCAAUCUCUCUCUUCUUCCCAUUUCAGCUCCGCUCGACAUUACUACGUCGCUGUGGACAGACUCCAAUUCAAGAUGGAGACAUUGGUGGAUCUCUUAGGAGUGGCAGGCCGGCGUCCCUCUCUGCCAAUUGUGCUCUGCUGCAGCUCACGCGACGAACUCGAUGCUGUCUGCAGCACCAUUGCCAACCUUCCCUACAUUUCCUUGACCUCCCUGUAUAGUGACCUGGCAGAAGCUGAACGUGCAUCUAUACUAGAGAAGUUCCGUCAGGCGACCCUAGAGUGGAACCAAAAUAUUACUGUUCACCCUGAGGAUGAAUAUGAAACUGGAAACCAAGAGCCUAAGUCACAUAUGAUUGUUGUGACAGAUGCCUGCCUGCCUGUUCUUGCAGCAGGAGAGGCGCCUAUCUCUGCUCGCAUCUUGAUAAAUUAUGAAUUACCAACAAAGAAGGAAAUGUACUUGAGGCGGAUCUCAACUUGUUUAGCAGCAGAUGGGAUUGUGAUGAACAUGGUUGUUGGAGGUGAAGUGGUGACCUUGAAAGGCAUUGAAGAAGGCAGUGGCCUUGUAAUUGCAGAGAUGCCCAUAAAUAUUUCUGAGAUUUUGUGAAGAUCACAUGCAGAGGAGAUAUCCAGUUGCCUUGAGGCCACAUUUGCAUUCACCUGAUUACCAGGGGCAGGGAUGUCACAUGCACUCCACUGAUUGGAAACAUACCUGCUGAUAUUAUUGAUUUUAUCUUCUCUGACAGCUAUACAUGCACUUAUGAUAAGCACUGCUGAAGUGAAUUUGUCAUUACUCUUGCCUCAUCCCAGAUCAUAAGCUGGAUCAUCCAGAUCACCAUCUACAAGAACAAAGUCACAGAACAUGCAUUUCUCCUUCUCAAGUUAUCUGAUACUUACCAUUGCAUGAUUAACUUCCAUUUUCUGCAUCCGGUUCAAGCGUCUAGCAAACUAUAGAAUUUUUGAAAAAUUGGAUGUUUAUAUGUUGCUUCCCACAUCCUUUUCUCACUACGGUAACUACAAGACAAAACCUGUUUGUAAAUAGUACCAGGUGGAGGUCAAUCUCCUGAAUAGUUUAUCAGAUCUGUAUGAAUACGUGGCUCAAAAACCUGAAAAGACUCAACUUGUUGUCCAGUCAGGCCAGGUCGACUCAGGGACUUGUUUGAGUCUUGAUUCGAUUUGAUUUAAUAAUUACAUUUAAAAUAUCUUGGUUUGUAAUAAAUGUUUAUAAUCUAGUUAUCUAUAUAAAUUAGCAGAAGCAGACAAUAA